rnacentral:rRNA from 1 species
CCCGCUGAACUUAAGCGUAUCAGUAGGCGGUGGAAAAGAAACUAACAAGGAUUCCCUCAGUAACUGCGAGUGAACAGGGAAAUGCCCGACGCUGAAGCCUCGACCGUUAAAGGCGGGGCAAUGUGGCGAUAGUUUAGUGCGUUUCGUCGGUCCACACAAGUGCGACCGUUCCUCGGCUUGCAGAAGUCUGCGUGACCGUGGCUCUAUUACCCAGAGAGGGUGAAAGGCCCGUUCUGGUACCUUAAACGAGGUUACCGAGCCGAAAAGGGGACGGCGUACGGGCCGAUAACUAGCGUACGAAGAGAGUCGGAUUGCUUGAGAGUGCAAUCUUAAGACGGGUGGUAAACUCCAUCCAAGGCUAAAUACGAUACCACCAGACCGAUAGCGAACAAGUACCGUGAGGGAAAGAUGAAAAGCACUUUGGAAAGAGAGUUAAACAGUACGUGAAAUUGCUGAAAGGGAAACGCUUGAAGUCAGUCGCGUCGCUUAGAACUCAGCCUUGCUUUGCUCGGUGCAUUUUCUAUUCGACGGGCCAGCAUCAGUUUCGACGGCGAGAUAAAGGUUGAGGAAAUGUGGCACCUUCGGGUGUGUUAUAGUCCUUGAUUGCAUGCCGUCGUUGGGACUGAGGAACUCAGCACGCAUCUGUUGUGCUUAGGAUGCUGGCGUAAUGGCUUUAAGCGACCCGUCUUGAAACACGG